GAUGAACGCUGGCGGCGUGCCUAAUACAUGCAAGUCGAGCGAAUGGAUUAAGAGCUUGCUCUUAUGAAGUUAGCGGCGGACGGGUGAGUAACACGUGGGUAACCUGCCCAUAAGACUGGGAUAACUCCGGGAAACCGGGGCUAAUACCGGAUAACAUUUUGAACCGCAUGGUUCGAAAUUGAAAGGCGGCUUCGGCUGUCACUUAUGGAUGGACCCGCGUCGCAUUAGCUAGUUGGUGAGGUAACGGCUCACCAAGGCAACGAUGCGUAGCCGAGCUGAGAGGGGGAGCAGCGACACUGGGACUGAGACACGGCCCAGAGUCCUACGGGAGGCAUCAGUAGGGAAUCUUCCGCAAUGGACGAAAGUCUGACGGAGCAACGCCGCGUGAGUGAUGAAGGCUUUCGAGUCGUAAAACUCUGUUGUUAGGGAAGAACAAGUGCUAGUUGAAUAAGCUGGCACCUUGACGGUACCUAACCAGAAAGCCACGGCUAACUACGUGCCAGCCGCCGCGGUAA
rnacentral:rRNA from 1 species